ACCAAAGUAGCCAGAAUGCACAAAAAUACAGAUAACUUCGUAAUUAAUGUGGUACUGACAAAAUUCAAUUCAAAAUAUGAAGUCUGGCCUUUCCAUUUCUUCUGACAAUAACUAACUUUACAGCACCAAAGAAGUGCAGAUACAGUCACGAAAACCUACCUUACUGAUCUAAAUAGUGUUUUUUGUCAGUGCCUAUUUAAGAGACUUUGCAGCAUAGCAGUCACAUUGUGCGGUGUGCUAGUAUGCAUACAAGGUGAUUUUUUUUAGUGAAUACUGACUUAAGAAUCUCCUGAGGCGGACGGUGGAAAUCUGGCACAUCAGCUGGAUCACAUGAAGUGGCGGUCUAGCUAAUUACCAAGCUUCCACUAAUUAACACAGUAAUUGUUCACUUUAGGACACAUGUUCCAGUUAUGAAACUAAAACCGAGCAGUAAUGAAGCCAUUAAAACUUAGCAGAAAUCCUGUGCUCAGCACAAUUUUUGAGAAGUAUGUCCAAGUUCUGUGGGGCGAUUCCAUGAGAGUUCGAACAUGCAUGUCCGCUUGAUGUUAUUGUUUUGUCUGUUUUUUUUUAUGUCAUGUCGUAAUAUUGAAACUGCAUGGAACUGAAAAAUUUUUUCUAGGAAAGUAUUUCCAGCAAGCCAAAAAAAAAAAAAUAUUUGAAGGCGGCGGCAGGAACGUCCUUUUAUUACUUACCACAAUUUUUUAUUUUACUGCAGAAUUAAAUGCAAACUAAAAACAUUGUGUCGAAAACUUUACUGAUCAUGUUAAUACACUUCACAGUAAAUUAGUUCCAUGCAUUUUAUUAUGCUGUCCACAAACAAAAAAAUUUGAAAAAAUUCCAAACAUGGCCCAAAUCAGAAAAAUUUUGUAACCUUGAUGCAUCUUGGAGCAUUUUCUAUUUUACACAGAAACUUGAAAAAAAACUGUCAAACAUAGAACUUUCUCUUUGCAACAUUUACACAAAAUAUCUUCCUACAUAAAACACAAGAGAAGAAAAAAAAAUUUUUAAACAAGUGUUUUUCAAAAAGACUCAUUUUCAGAAAAUAACACUAAAAAGAAGUCUGGUUCCAAUUUUUGAAAAAAAAUUUGGAGGGAAGUCCACUUAUGUCGGGCAAAACAUGGAUGUGAUGUUUCCUCAUUUGCUUUAUUCACAAAAUGUAACGGGCCAAAGCUGUCCAUGUUAAGCGUGCUGGCUUUAGUGCUGCGAUGACUCAUUCCGGUUUGUUCACAUUUACUCUCUUAAAAAAAGAAAAGGUAACAGUUGUCGCAAAUGAAGGAAGGUUUACCUGGGCUUUUUAUUGUGGCAAGGACAGAGAACAUGUUUUCUGCUUUGUUUUCUGGGACACAAGAGAGAACAAACUCGACACUACUUGUGCUCGAACAAAUUUAUUGCAUGUCCUUUGCAGUUAGUAUUCAAAAGGGUUUAAUCACCAUCAGCUGGUUAGCAGCAGUUCUCGCAACGGACAGCGCAUCUCCGCUUGACUAAUCGCGGGCACACAUCCACACAUGCCAUGACUGAAUUCCCGGCACACUUGGCAAUGACUUCCACUCCGCUGACUUCUGCUGACAAUGCUCCUUGAUGGCUGCAGCAGGUGCAUGAAGCAGGGCCACGUUCUUGAGGUUGCCGCUAAGUUGGAAGACCAUCUCAUGUGCACAGGCACUCUUCCCAUGCCCGGUAGCAGAAAAUAUCCACCUCGCAGACAUAUACUUGGAAUGGCACAACUCAUACAGUUGGUACCUAUUUUUAAAACGGCUCGCUGCACCAUCGCUGACGUAUGGUAUGUGACCGUAGAUGGGUGCUUUUUCAUCUAACGCUUCAUGCACUCUGCAUAGGGCAUAGCAGGCGUGCACUGCGUCGUGAUGCAUGUCAUCGCUUAUGACAGCAAAGCUGUGUGUUGCUUUCCUUGUUGUCAUAUCAUAAGAAGCCAACAAACAAAGACACCAAGAACAACAUAGGGGAAGUUACUGGUACUUACCAAUUGAAAUAAGGAAAUUAUAAAUUAAUGGAAUUGAAAGUGGAGGAAAAAACAACUUCCCACAGGUGGGGAACGAUCCCACGUCUUUGCAUCACGUGUGCGAUGCUCUUGUUGUGGUGACACAGAUGAAAAUAGAGAUUUGUUUCUUGUGCCAAUGGUACGAUUGUAUUUCAUUCAACAGAAGGACUGUCCAGUUUUCUGCAAAAGCAAAAUGCAGAACAAUGCUUUCGUACUGCGCGUACUUCUUUGCCUUAUGGCUUGAGUGCGGCAUAUGUAUUCGCGAGGAAACCAUUUGGUCACCCAUUUGCCAAGCUCUUUCCCAAAAAUCGUUUGGGACGAUGUCUUCUUGAUCAAGUCACCGCUUUCCCAAGCAGCAAAUGUGACCUCAUCCUCGUUGACCAUUCCCAAACUAGCCAAAGUGAGGCUUUCCCUCCAUGGGCAGCGCUCACAUUCACCUAACAUACAAUCUGUGGUUGGGGAGCUGCAAAGGCACAAUGCUUUCAUGCCUUCCAAUGAGAUUUCCAAGCCAGUUACGUUCUCAAGCGUGGACACACAAAGGAUGGCAUUAGUGCAAUAAACGCAAAUGUAAACCUCUUGCUGUGGUGCAAGCAGCACCCAUUUUGGACACAUGCUGUAAAACUUUGACAGGGUGAUGGUACUUUCAGGGUGCGCUGCUUUGAACAUCUGGAUAGUCUCGCGGAUAGAACAUCUCAUAAACCGCUUCGAGACGUACUUUCUCUGGCCAUUCGUGAUGAUUGACUGACACAUCCUUCUUGUUCGGGUCUGCUGCAAGCACCCAAGUUCGUCCUUGGUGAAGUAGUUGGAACACAGCAUGUACACCUGAUGGGCUUAACCUUGCCCUUGUGUACGGAUCAAAAUCUAACCACAUUCCAUGCUUCUCAAGCCAAUUUCAGACCUUUCUGAGCAUAUAGGUUGUGACAGUUGAGAUUGCCUCUUGAACGCAUUUAUUUUCAAGUUCUGGUGGCACGAUGGUUAAGAGACGGAGACGCUCUCAAUAGGGCCUUGAAGCCUCGUACGCUUGCUUCAAGCUAUUUAACCAGCCAGCACAUGCACAAUGUUCUGUCACAGACGGCUGAAGUGUACUGACGCUUCUGUAUGCAGCGCUUAAUGUUGAGUGUAUCUACGUCACCACGACAGUUCUCAAUCUCAGCCCGUUUUCUCUUUCCAUAAGAUCGUCUGCUGCGUUUGUGAAUGGAAGAUGGUGGCUUCAAUGGUGAAACAUCAGAAGAAAGGUGGACGUACCUGUUCAAGUCUUCAAUUGCUUCUUCCUGAAGGAAUGCCUCCUCUGCUUCACCGCGGGUGUCACUAGAUGAAGACAGGAUUUCCUUGAGGGGUUCUCAACAACACAGUUAUGAAGGCACACGGCCAGCUGCCAACGAGGUUUUAUGCAUGGCAAUAAACACAAGAAUAAAGG